rnacentral:rRNA from 1 species
CCUACGGGAGGCUGCAGUGGGGAAUAUUGGACAAUGGGGGCAACCCUGAUCCAGCCAUGCCGCGUGUGUGAAGAAGGCCCUCGGGGUGUAAAGCACUUUCAGUGAGGAAGAACGCCUGGUGGUUAAUACCCAUCAGGAAAGACAUCACUCACAGAAGAAGCACCGGCUAACUCCGUGCCAGCAGCCGCGGUAAUACGGAGGGUGCGAGCGUUAAUCGGAAUUACUGGGCGUAAAGCGCGCGUAGGUGGCUUGAUAAGCCGGUUGUGAAAGCCCCGGGCUCAACCUGGGAACGGCAUCCGGAACUGUCAAGCUAGAGUGCAGGAGAGGAAGGUAGAAUUCCCGGUGUAGCGGUGAAAUGCGUAGAGAUCGGGAGGAAUACCAGUGGCGAAGGCGGCCUUCUGGACUGACACUGACACUGAGGUGCGAAAGCGUGGGUAGCAAACAGGAUUAGAUACCCGAGGAGUC